UGGGGAAUAUUGGACAAUGGGCGAAAGCCUGACCCAGCAACGCCGCGUGAAGGAUGAAGUAUUUCGGUAUGUAAACUUCGAAAGAAUGGGAAGAAUAAAUGACGGUACCAUUUAUAAGCUCCGGCUAACUACGUGCCAGCAGCCGCGGUAAUACGUAGGGAGCAAGCGUUGUUCGGAUUUACUGGGCGUAAAGGGCGCGUAGGCGGCGCGGUAAGUCACUUGUGAAAUCUCUGAGCUUAACUCAGAACGGCCAAGUGAUACUGCAGUGCUAGAGUGCAGAAGGGGCAAUCGGAAUUCUUGGUGUAGCGGUGAAAUGCGUAGAUAUCAAGAGGAACACCUGAGGUGAAGACGGGUUGCUGGGCUGACACUGACGCUGAGGCGCGAAAGCCAGGGGAGCAAACGGGAUUAGAUACCCACGUAGUCCCUGAGCGGGCUGGCAAGGCGCAU
rnacentral:rRNA from 1 species